rnacentral:lncRNA from 1 species
GUCACGGCCAGCACCUGCUGAUGGCACAGAGAGGGAUCCUUCCCUUCAGCUCACCCAGGAACUUUCCAUCCCCAGCCCAGAGAGGGAGCAAGGACAGUCAGGAGCCAUCUGUGACCCGGCAAGUGACGGCCUCGGUGACACCACUGGAGAAUGUGGCAAAAUGAUUUCCUGCUGAAUGAAACCCAGAGAGAGCUCGGGAACACCUUCACCCGGGGGUCACCCAAAAAACUCAUGUGGGGGGAUGAAUCCCAGAAUCCCGGAGUGGGGCAGGGCUAAGGGAGCACAGAGGCUCAGCUGGUGCCACCCCAGGGCCAUCCCGAGCACAGGGCACAGCGGGGUGUGCACAGGGCUCUGGAAUAUCCCCAGCCAGGGAGGACCCACAGCCUCUCUGGGCUCUGCUCCAGUGCCCACAGGGAAGUUCUGCCUCCUGGGCAGGGAAUUGCCGGGCUCAGCCCUGCCCGGGGCUCUGGGGCCAUUGCUGGGCCUGUAGCAGGGCCUGGGGCUGCUCUGCCCUCCUGCACACAGGGACGGACAGGGAUGGACAGGGACACUCAGGGACACCCAGGGACACUCAGGGUCACAACAGGGUCACCCAGGCCUGAGGGCCCCUCUCAGCAUCUCCUCAGCCCCAGCUCCCUCAGCCUUUCCUGCUCCAGGCCCUUCCUCAGCUCCACAGCUCCCCAGGAGCUCCCUGGCCCUGCUGUCCCAAGGAGCUGGACAAGCACUCCAGCUCUGCCUCCCAGGGCUGACAAUGUUUAUUUUUAAUUCUCAGUGAAGACAACAACCUAGAUCCCAGCUGAUCCCACCCACCCCACAUGGAGCCACUCCUGCCUUCUCUCCUUCCUCAGAGGACAAAAACCCCAGAAAUGCUCUUGGCUCCCUUCUCCCAGAGGCCCUGGGGUGGUCAAUAGCAAUAAAAAUAUGCCUGCAGAGCUUUCACCCUCAAAGCUUGAUUUUCCAGGCACUCUCCUGCAGUUCCUCUGUAAUGGCAUUUUUUAAUGGCCUGGCCAAAGGAACCUAAUCUUGCAAUUACUCCAUUUAAAGCCAUGUAAUGGGUGAGCAGCUUCCUGGGAUAUGGGAAAGGAGAAGUGUGGUACAAUUGUAUUAAAGUGGGAAAAAGGAGUAACUACUCACACUAAAAAGGAUGAGGAAUGAAAAGCAGCAUGGUGUGAAUUAUAGAGAAAGGAAUGGGUUUAUGACAUGCAGCUGAAGGUCUGGCAGCUUUUGAGAGUCACCAUUCCCCUCCUGUCCCUUUCACUUGCCAUCAGGACAAAAAAAGAGGAAAAGGAGGGAGUUGGGAGCAUCAAAUCCACAGGGCUUGCAAAGGGGAUCAAUUGGGUUUGAGGACGGAGUGAGCAGGGCAAGGGCAAGGCACCUCCAGGGAGAUUCUCCUGCUGCAUGGCAGCAUUCCCAGGAGAAGCUGGCAGCACAAGGCCCUAAAGAUGGGGAACAGCUGAGCAACCCCAAUUCCCAGGACUGAGAUCUCCCUGAUCCCUGACUUCACAGCAUGAAAAAGGAGACUGGGGAUAUUUAAAAAAAAAAAAUUAUUAAGGAUAUUGCUUGAAAAACAACCAGGGUGAUCCUCAGCAGUGCAGGAGGGAUGGCAGGAGGGAUGAAUUCCUGAGGGGAAGGGCUCCUCACUCCAGCUUGCAAAAGCCAAAAGUCAAAUCUCCCAGGCUCUGGAAUUCAGGAACAAUGGGGAAAUGGGGAUGCCUGGCCCGUCCUGCUCAGUUUGGGACCCUCGUGUCCCCAUGGCCCAGUGCCGUCACCGCCACCCACCCCAACAUUCCAUCCAAGGGAGCUCUCCCACGUCAACCUGGGGGCCCAGCACCACGAUGCUCUUCCAUAUCCCAUCCAAAGGCCUCACUGCGCGCUCCGCAGGUCCAUGAGGGCACGCUCCAGGCUCCGGGACAGGAGGGGGAAGCGCUUUGGGAAGAGCGUCCGCUUCAGGUCCUCCUGGCGCGUGCUUCUGCCCUUCUUCCUCUUCAUGGCGAGGCACCGCCGGCGGCUCCGGAGGGCUCACCCAGCCUUGCCGUGGUGCACAUGGCCCAGAGCGCCCCAGCUGCGCUCUCAGCACCAAGGUGGGAGACAGCAGCUGCCAUUUAUCACUCUUGAGGAGCUGAUUGGCAUCCUCAGUCACAACUGAAUUCUGCGAGUGCACAAGAGAAAAACACCUUCAAUUCUUCCCUUCAUGUCCCCAAAAUGCAUGCCCUAGGUUUUGAGGCCUGCUUACUCUGAUCAAGCCCUUCUGGAUCUCACCAACAUGAAGGAACUCUCCUUAUGCCUGUCCAGCUGUUCUGUGCAGUACUUCCUGGAGUGACUUCCCAGUGAUGCUAACAGCUUUACCUGGCACCCCCAAGCAGUUAAGGUGGAAGACUGCAGCAGCAAGUUCCUUGCCUCCAACCAGCUACAAUGGAAUGGUUUUCCCAUAGGAAUUACCCUCAGAGGAAUAACCCCAGUCCCUCCAGCCAAACUGCCUCCUUUCCAGGGAAGCCAGAGGCUUGCAUGCCUUUAAAAAAAGGAAAAAUAUCCCCAAAUCAAGAUAGUAUUUCAAGUGGGAUUAUUGCUCGUUGGCCAAAGAGCUGGAAGUUUAGCUGGAACUUAUUAGGCAAGCUUUGCAGAAAGGAGGCUGUAAAGAAGGAGGUGGUGUUGCCCUCGGUGCUGCAUCCCACUGCCUGCAUCAGCGGUGGCCAAGGGGCCGUGAAACUGGCAGGCAGAGGCAGGUGAAAGAAAAGGCAGCCAGGAAGCAGAGCCCUGACAUGCAGGGUCUUCAGCCUCUUUCUUAGGUUUUCCCUGAGAACACCACCUGGGAGAGGCCAGCAGGAGAGGCUGGGAGCCAGCCCGUGCCCUUGCUGAGCAGAUUAGCAGCACUGCUGAUCAUCCCUCCUUGCCACCCCCAGGAAAGAAGUGUGAUCCCUGCCUGGCGCAGAAAUGGAUCCAGCGAGAGGCUCUGAGGCGAAACUCGCUCAAAUAUUGAACUAGAAAAAUUUUGCUCGAUCUGCCUCUCAGUAAACAGUGACUAAUUGCUCUGGCUGGAGUUGCUGUACCUUCUAGAUUGGAAGGUGCAGACGGAACAAUGAUAGUGAAGGCUCCUUACCUGACACCGGCUGUACAUUAAUCACGAAUGUUUGCUACGCAAAUCUUGUCAUACAAAGCAAUUAUUGCUGUUCCCAUACUGACCUCAUGUUUAUUUAUUACAUGAGCUCUUUAUUUGAACCUUGUCUGGUCUCUCUUCCCAUAUAAGCAUAUUAGUAUGUGGCUUCCAAAGGCUCCCAGCUGAGAAAUUGUAGAUUUAUUUGUGGCGUGGAGGGAUGGCACACGACACGCUGACUGCAAUGCAGAGCUGAGAGGCUCAGCUCUUACACCAGUGGCUCUUCAUGCAAAAUGUUCUCACCCCAAGGCCUCUUGCUGGGAUGAAGGACACUUUCUAACAGCACAGGGCUGCGACUCUGGGUUUGCUCUGACGCUGCAGUAUUAACCAAUGGUUAAUGGAGACUGUCAGCCCGAGGAGCCACAAAAUAAAGCUCUGCUUGGGCUUCUUUAGGGUCCGCUCAGUAAAAGUAAAAUUUUACACAGUGCUUCGUCCUUGGCUUUGUCACCUUUGCCUACCUCCAGAAUGAUGAGUUGCAAAUAAAUUUAACUGUGCCACCAAGUAAGUUGCAAGUGCGCUUUUGAAUGUGGUGGUGUUUGGGUAGCUGGAGGGCUGGGUGUCUUUAAGCACCAAAUAUUCUCUUGCCAGAGGAGUUUUCUCCAUGUGAUUUAAUGUUGGGCAACACUGGCAUCCGGUGGGCAGAGGGUUUCCUCCUUAACAGCUUGGGGCAGCUCACUCCCUUGAUUUUGUCCUAUGGCUUCUCAAGAUGAUCAUUAAAUGCAAUUUCUACAUUAAUCUGGGCUUUGUUUUCCCCCUUCCUUCAGUUAGGCUGCAAAGCAGGCAGAACAAUGUAUUGUCUGUUUAGUGUUUUCUUUUAAACACGCCCUGCUAUACAGUCUGGGAUCUUCUGAAGUCAGCUGCCCCUCCACGCUGAUCAGUUUUGUUGCGCAGGGACUCUGCCUGCCUCACACCUCAGGCAAGUCUCUGUUCCUCUCUUGAGCGGGACAGGAAGGGUCUCCAUGGUUCCUGCUUCAAACCAAACCCUCCUGUCUGACCUCUUUGGGCCCCUUCCUUGUCCACAGACAUUAUUGGUGCUCUUUUACUAGGGGAAACUGUAGAAAAGCCCCCAGAGCCUGAAUGAAAUCAAAUCCCUCUUACACCCCUCAGCCCUCCCUGCCUCUCUCGCUGUUCUUUCUUCUGCUCUCACCUCUGCUUUCAGCUCUUCCCAAUGUACCAUCAUUUUCUGAUGCAAUUAAUUCUUAUUGCUUCCAAAUCAUUAAUAAAGCACCUAAUUGUUGCAGCAUUUCUGAGACAGAGAGGGCAUGAUUUAUGUUUGGAAUGAGAUUUGAGCUACUCCAGCCUAGGCCUCAGAUCUGGGCCUUGUGAGGCUUUCCAGCCUCUGGCGCAGUUAGAAAUUAAGAGCUUGUGGUGCAGUUAGAAAUUGUAUUAAGGUGUGAUGGGAAGCACUGGGCUGUCUGGGUGUGAAGUAGUAUAGGUUUAUAGUGUGAGGUUUAGGUCACCUUAAGAAAAAGACACACAAUGUUCGCUUGCCAAUGAAUGUGCCUUUGUAAACUGUAAACUGUAUAGAAGUGUAUAUAAGCUGCCAUCUCCUCUCGAAUAAACAGAGAACGUUGCAUUAAU